GGUUCAUUCAAAUUUCUUCCCUAUCAACUUUCGAUGGUAAGGUAUUGGCUUACCAUGGUUUCAACUGGUAACGGGGAAUUAGGGUUCGAUUCCGGAGAGGGAGCCUGAGAAACGGCUACCACAUCCAAGGAAGGCAGCAGGCGCGCAAAUUACCCAAUCCCGACGGGGAGGUAGUGACAAUAAAUACUGAUACAGGGCUCUUUUGGGUCUUGUAAUCGGAAUGAAUACAAUUUAAACCCCUUAACGAGGAACAAUUGGAGGGCAAGUCUGGUGCCAGCAGACGGGUAAUUCCAGCUCCAAUAGCGUAUAUUAAAGUUGUUGCAGUUAAAAAGCUCGUAGUUG
rnacentral:rRNA from 1 species